UCGGAUAUGGUGUAACGGCUAACAUUGCCGCCUCUCACUGUGGUAGUGCGCGGCAGCUCGGGGUUCGAUUCCCCGUAUCCGAA